rnacentral:rRNA from 1 species
GAUGAACGCUGGCGGCGUGCCUAAUACAUGCAAGUCGAGCGGACCAAAGAGAGCUUGCUCUCUUUAGGUUAGCGGCGGACGGGUGAGUAACACGUGGGUAACCUGCCUGUAAGACGGGGAUAACUUCGGGAAACCGAAGCUAAUACCGGAUGAUAAAGAGAAACGCCUGUUUCUUUUUUGAAAGUUGGCCUUGUGCUGACGCUUACAGAUGGGCCCGCGGCGCAUUAGCUAGUUGGUGAGGUAACGGCUCACCAAGGCGACGAUGCGUAGCCGACCUGAGAGGGUGAUCGGCCACACUGGGACUGAGACACGGCCCAGACUCCUACGGGAGGAAGCAGUAGGGAAUCUUCGGCAAUGGACGAAAGUCUGACCGAGCAACGCCGCGUGAGCGAUGAAGGCCUUCGGGUCGUAAAGCUCUGUUGUCAGAGAAGAACAAGUACCGGAGUAACUGCCGGUACCUUGACGGUACCUGACCAGAAAGCCACGGCUAACUACGUGCCAGCCGCCGCAGUAAUAC